rnacentral:rRNA from 1 species
UACAGAGGGGGCAAGCGUUGUUCGGAAUUACUGGGCGUAAAGGGCGCGUAGGCGGCCUUCUAAGUCGAACGUGAAAUCCCCGGGCUCAACCCGGGAACUGCGUCCGAUACUGGAAGGCUUGAAUCCGGGAGAGGGAUGUGGAAUUCCAGGUGUAGCGGUGAAAUGCGCAGAUAUCGGGAAGAACACCCGUGGCGAAGGCGGCUACUC